rnacentral:rRNA from 1 species
CAUGCUUUACACAUGCAAGUCGGACGGCAGCACAGAGAAGCUUGCUUCUUGGGUGGCGAGUGGCGAACGGGUGAGUAAUAUAUCGGAACGUACCGAGUAAUGGGGGAUAACUAAUCGAAAGAUUAGCUAAUACCGCAUAUUCUCUGAGGAGGAAAGCAGGGGACCUUCGGGCCUUGCGUUAUUCGAGCGGCCGAUAUCUGAUUAGCUAGUUGGUGGGGUAAAGGCCUACCAAGGCGACGAUCAGUAGCGGGUCUGAGAGGAUGAUCCGCCACACUGGGACUGAGACACGGCCCAGACUCCUACGGGAGGCAGCAGUGGGGAAUUUUGGACAAUGGGCGCAAGCCUGAUCCAGCCAUGCCGCGUGUCUGAAGAAGGCCUUCGGGUUGUAAAGGACUUUUGUCAGGGAAGAAAAGGCUGUUGCUAAUACCGACAGCUGAUGACGGUACCUGAAGAAUAAGCACCGGCUAACUACGUGCCAGCAGCCGCGGUAAUACGUAGGGUGCGAGCGUUAAUCGGAAUUACUGGGCGUAAAGCGAGCGCAGACGGUUACUUAAGCAGGAUGUGAAAUCCCCGGGCUCAACCUGGGAACUGCGUUCUGAACUGGGUGACUAGAGUGUGUCAGAGGGAGGUAGAAUUCCACGUGUAGCAGUGAAAUGCGUAGAGAUGUGGAGGAAUACCGAUGGCGAAGGCAGCCUCCUGGGAUAACACUGACGUUCAUGCUCGAAAGCGUGGGUAGCAAACAGGAUUAGAUACCCU